GGUUAAGCGACUAAGCGUACACGGUGGAUGCCCUGGCAGUCAGAGGCGAUGAAGGACGUGCUAAUCUGCGAUAAGCGUCGGUAAGGUGAUAUGAACCGUUAUAACCGGCGAUUUCCGAAUGGGGAAACCCAGUGUGAUUCGUCACACUAUCAUUAACUGAAUCCAUAGGUUAAUGAGGCGAACCGGGGGAACUGAAACAUCUAAGUACCCCGAGGAAAAGAAAUCAACCGAGAUUCCCCCAGUAGCGGCGAGCGAACGGGGAGCAGCCCAGAGCCUGAAUCAGUAUGUGUGUUAGUGGAAGCGUCUGGAAAGGCGCGCGAUACAGGGUGACAGCCCCGUACACAAAAAUGCACAUGCUGUGAGCUCGAUGAGUAGGGCGGGACACGUGGUAUCCUGUCUGAAUAUGGGGGGACCAUCCUCCAAGGCUAAAUACUCCUGACUGACCGAUAGUGAACCAGUACCGUGAGGGAAAGGCGAAAAGAACCCCGGCGAGGGGAGUGAAAAAGAACCUGAAACCGUGUACGUACAAGCAGUGGGAGCACAGAGCAAUCUGUGUGACUGCGUACCUUUUGUAUAAUGGGUCAGCGACUUAUAUUCUGUAGCAAGGUUAACCGAAUAGGGGAGCCGAAGGGAAACCGAGUCUUAACUGGGCGUUAAGUUGCAGGGUAUAGACCCGAAACCCGGUGAUCUAGCCAUGGGCAGGUUGAAGGUUGGGUAACACUAACUGGAGGACCGAACCGACUAAUGUUGAAAAAUUAGCGGAUGACUUGUGGCUGGGGGUGAAAGGCCAAUCAAACCGGGAGAUAGCUGGUUCUCCCCGAAAGCUAUUUAGGUAGCGCCUCGUGAAUUCAUCUCCGGGGGUAGAGCACUGUUUCGGCAAGGGGGUCAUCCCGACUUACCAACCCGAUGCAAACUGCGAAUACCGGAGAAUGUUAUCACGGGAGACACACGGCGGGUGCUAACGUCCGUCGUGAAGAGGGAAACAACCCAGACCGCCAGCUAAGGUCCCAAAGUCAUGGUUAAGUGGGAAACGAUGUGGGAAGGCCCAGACAGCCAGGAUGUUGGCUUAGAAGCAGCCAUCAUUUAAAGAAAGCGUAAUAGCUCACUGGUCGAGUCGGCCUGCGCGGAAGAUGUAACGGGGCUAAACCAUGCACCGAAGCUGCGGCAGCGACGCUUAUGCGUUGUUGGGUAGGGGAGCGUUCUGUAAGCCUGUGAAGGUGUGCUGUGAGGCAUGCUGGAGGUAUCAGAAGUGCGAAUGCUGACAUAAGUAACGAUAAAGCGGGUGAAAAGCCCGCUCGCCGGAAGACCAAGGGUUCCUGUCCAACGUUAAUCGGGGCAGGGUGAGUCGACCCCUAAGGCGAGGCCGAAAGGCGUAGUCGAUGGGAAACAGGUUAAUAUUCCUGUACUUGGUGUUACUGCGAAGGGGGGACGGAGAAGGCUAUGUUGGCCGGGCGACGGUUGUCCCGGUUUAAGCGUGUAGGCUGGUUUUCCAGGCAAAUCCGGAAAAUCAAGGCUGAGGCGUGAUGACGAGGCACUACGGUGCUGAAGCAACAAAUGCCCUGCUUCCAGGAAAAGCCUCUAAGCAUCAGGUAACAUCAAAUCGUACCCCAAACCGACACAGGUGGUCAGGUAGAGAAUACCAAGGCGCUUGAGAGAACUCGGGUGAAGGAACUAGGCAAAAUGGUGCCGUAACUUCGGGAGAAGGCACGCUGAUAUGUAGGUGAAGUCCCUCGCGGAUGGAGCUGAAAUCAGUCGAAGAUACCAGCUGGCUGCAACUGUUUAUUAAAAACACAGCACUGUGCAAACACGAAAGUGGACGUAUACGGUGUGACGCCUGCCCGGUGCCGGAAGGUUAAUUGAUGGGGUCAGCGCAAGCGAAGCUCUUGAUCGAAGCCCCGGUAAACGGCGGCCGUAACUAUAACGGUCCUAAGGUAGCGAAAUUCCUUGUCGGGUAAGUUCCGACCUGCACGAAUGGCGUAAUGAUGGCCAGGCUGUCUCCACCCGAGACUCAGUGAAAUUGAACUCGCUGUGAAGAUGCAGUGUACCCGCGGCAAGACGGAAAGACCCCGUGAACCUUUACUAUAGCUUGACACUGAACAUUGAGCCUUGAUGUGUAGGAUAGGUGGGAGGCUUGGAAGUGUGGACGCCAGUCUGCAUGGAGCCGACCUUGAAAUACCACCCUUUAAUGUUUGAUGUUCUAACGUUGACCCGUAAUCCGGGUUGCGGACAGUGUCUGGUGGGUAGUUUGACUGGGGCGGUCUCCUCCUAAAGAGUAACGGAGGAGCACGAAGGUUGGCUAAUCCUGGUCGGACAUCAGGAGGUUAGUGCAAUGGCAUAAGCCAGCUUGACUGCGAGCGUGACGGCGCGAGCAGGUGCGAAAGCAGGUCAUAGUGAUCCGGUGGUUCUGAAUGGAAGGGCCAUCGCUCAACGGAUAAAAGGUACUCCGGGGAUAACAGGCUGAUACCGCCCAAGAGUUCAUAUCGACGGCGGUGUUUGGCACCUCGAUGUCGGCUCAUCACAUCCUGGGGCUGAAGUAGGUCCCAAGGGUAUGGCUGUUCGCCAUUUAAAGUGGUACGCGAGCUGGGUUUAGAACGUCGUGAGACAGUUCGGUCCCUAUCUGCCGUGGGCGCUGGAGAACUGAGGGGGGCUGCUCCUAGUACGAGAGGACCGGAGUGGACGCAUCACUGGUGUUCGGGUUGUCAUGCCAAUGGCACUGCCCGGUAGCUAAAUGCGGAAGAGAUAAGUGCUGAAAGCAUCUAAGCACGAAACUUGCCCCGAGAUGAGUUCUCCCUGACUCCUUGAGAGUCCUGAAGGAACGUUGAAGACGACGACGUUGAUAGGCCGGGUGUGUAAGCGCAGCGAUGCGUUGAGCUAACCGGUACUAAUGAACCGUGAGGCUUAACCUU
rnacentral:rRNA from 4 species